UCAUAACAAAACCUACCAGAAAAAUCCCACCUACCUACCAGACAGAUUUUUUUUUCUCUAGCAUUAGGAUUAAAUAGUUGAAUAGGAUAACUAUCGUAAAUGCAAAACUUUGCCAGUUUAUAUGAGAUGGAGACUUGAAAAUAAUUUUCUUUGAGAUAUAGAAGAUUUAGCUAAUUAACAUUCAAGAAGAGUGAUCUCCUUCUUACACAAUUGUAUUAAAUAGUAAUCAGCUCCCAAUUAGAUACAUAAAAUUAAUAAGAUUUUUCCUUCAUAUAAACAAGAAAGGAAAAAGAAGGGGAAAAAAAAAAGACACAUCAUAGUUUCUCAGGAAUGAAAAGGCUUAGUAAUGAAGUUAACACAAGAAUAAUCCAUCACCU
rnacentral:misc_RNA from 1 species